rnacentral:rRNA from 1 species
GACGAACGCUGGCGGCGUGCUUAACACAUGCAAGUCGAACGGAAAGGCCCUGCUUGCGGGGUACUCGAGUGGCGAAGGGGGGAGUAAAACGGGGGUGAUCUGCCCUGAACUUCGGGUUAAGCCUGGGAAACGGGGCCAAAUACGGGAAAUGACUUUCCCUGUAGGGUGGGGGGUGGAAAGAUUUAUCGGUGGGGGAUGGGCCCGCGGCCUAUCAGCUUGUUGGUGGGGUAAUGGCCUACCAAGGCGUCGACGGGUAGCCGGCCUGAGAGGGUGGACGGCCACAUUGGGACUGAGAUACGGCCCAGACUCCUACGGGAGGCAGCAGUGGGGAAUAUUGCACAAUGGGCGGAAGCCUGAUGCAGCGACGCCGCGUGGGGGAUGACGGCCUUCGGGUUGUAAACCUCUUUCGACAGGGACGAAGCUUCGGUGACGGUACCUGUAUAAGAAGCACCGGCUAACUACGUG